AGUAACGCGUGGGUAACCUGCCCAGAAGCAGGGGAUAACACCUGGAAACAGAUGCUAAUACCGUAUAACAGAGAAAACCGCCUGGUUUUCUUUUAAAAGAUGGCUCUGCUAUCACUUCUGGAUGGACCCGCGGCGCAUUAGCUAGUUGGUGAGGUAACGGCUCACCAAGGCGAUGAUGCGUAGCCGACCUGAGAGGGUAAUCGGCCACAUUGGGACUGAGACACGGCCCAG
rnacentral:rRNA from 1 species